AUCACUGAUAUAAUACUUUUAUUUAUCAAGAUCAAAUUUUUUUAAGCCUGUAGUUAACAAUUAUUUUCAAUUACUCGUUUUUGUGAUACAAACAGUAUGUAGUGUAUGUGAUUUAAUUUAAUACCUCUCGCUUGUAUACACUCUGUAUGUACAAAUAACAUAUAAAAGAGGUAUUACAGUCAUAAACUGAUUAUAAGUACUAUGUUUCACAUGUAUAUUCGUUUCACAUGGUGUGUGGUGGUGAUGGCAUUGCAUUGCAGACAUGUUUUCUUAGCAUGCAGUGAUUGUAUGUAGUCAGCACACC
rnacentral:misc_RNA from 1 species